rnacentral:lncRNA from 1 species
AGCUGGUUUAUCACGUCUCAUUCAAGUUUAUAUUCGUUACCUGACAGUAGUGCACAAGUGUGUUGUACGGUUAUAUCCAGUGUUAUGACAGAAGUCUGAAGUGAAUUCUUGCGGCCCAUAUAUAGUAAACUUCUUAUACUGAAGACGAAAGCUCCAUUUGGAAAAUCUACAGUUAGUAAUCCUCCCAUGUAUCUUACAGUUCACUACGGAUACAAAAAUUCUGGUUUUCGUCUGGAUAUUUUAAAAGAACAUAAUGUAUAUACAAAUACAAGCUGUCGUGGUUUGAACUAUACUUGAAAUGACUUGAUAAACGCUUCAUGUAACGCUAAAACUGUCUGUACCAGUGUUGGUAGUACCCAAGUGAAAAUGCUGUGCUGAGUGGUAUAUUACUACCUUAAAAAAUAAGCAGAAACUCGACGUUUCGAGCGAAGACCCUUCGCCACUCAUAUACCACUCAUAUAACCACUCAGCACAGCAUUUUCAUGUAACGCUUCUGUUUUCCGAGAUAGUUCAACAAAGUAGUUCAGACACAAUCCGCGGCAGCUCGUGUAAGCUUAUAUCACGUACUUCUGGGAAGUCUUCCUUUACCAUUGACAAAAUUGUUGUAACAUUGUUACCGCAGCUUGACAAUUUUACGAGGACUCUACUUUGUCCAAGCAAGUGACGUUUUUGGAACGCGGACGUGAGAUUACCGCGAGGAACUGGAUUAAAAAUGACAAAACAUAAGAUUUUUCAAGUUUUUUGCUUGCUUUAUAAAUACUUAUACCAAUUUACGGGUGACGUCCGUGUUGACAAAAAUGCCGCUUGCUUAAAGAUGUUGUAAAGUCCGUGUUAAAAAUUCAGUAUAAUACGUAUCUAAUCGUAUUUUACAACUGUGGCACUGAGUUCAAAAUGUUAACAAAGCGUUUGUUUACAUUACGGACUUUGCAGCAUCUUUAAACUCACUAUUACGGCCGAUGGUUCUACUCAUCAACGAGAGCUUGACAUUGAGUACGAAAAUUUAAUAACAUUUUUAUUAUCUACAAAUUUAUUAUCUACAAAUUAAAAUACAUGUUCAGGCCUGUGAGAGACCCCAGGUCAUAGCUUCCAGGUAAAUUGCUGCAAUUUCAGACCAUUCUGGGGACUGAAUAAUUGAUUGAAAAAACGUGAACUGUUUUAAAUAUAGUUUGCUUUUGUUACAAAUGGAGAUAAACAAACAAUGAAUGUAGUUGUAGCUGCGAUUACUUGCUUCAUUUCUUGUUGUAUAUAGACAUUUAGUGUCCUAUAUUAAUAUUUGUUCUCAUAACGGUUAUAGGUGCAGGGGCCGGUUGUACGAAGGUCGGAUAGCGCUAUCCACUGGAUAGUGAUUUUUUCAACCUUUGUAAAAUGCUUGAAUAACUGUGAAACUACGGAUAUAGACGACACAAGAAGUAUAAAAAACAUUUAACUUAUAAAUACUAAACUUUAAUAUGAGUUAUACCAAUCAACGACUGAUUUAACAAAGCUUGAAAAGAUCAAUAUCCGGUGGAUAGCGCUAUCUACUGUAGACUUGCCCAUACGAACCGCGAAAAAAACUGGAAAGGACUUUGGGAAAGUCUAAGCGCUAUCCAGCCUUCGUACAACCGGCCCCAGAAGUCAGGAUACGAAUGCUUUAGGUUGAGUUUGUGUGUCUAAUACAAAACCAAGGCUGGCCGAUAAUUUAAGAAAAUAUAAAAAUAAACAAAUUCCGAA